rnacentral:rRNA from 1 species
CCUACGGGUGGCUGCAGUGGGGAAUAUUGCACAAUGGGCGCAAGCCUGAUGCAGCCAUGCCGCGUGUGUGAAGAAGGCCUUCGGGUUGUAAAGCACUUUCAGCGGGGAGGAAGGCGGUGAGGUUAAUAACCUCAUCGAUUGACGUUACCCGCAGAAGAAGCACCGGCUAACUCCGUGCCAGCAGCCGCGGUAAUACGGAGGGUGCAAGCGUUAAUCGGAAUUACUGGGCGUAAAGCGCACGCAGGCGGUCUGUCAAGUCGGAGGUGAAAUCCCCGGGCUCAACCUGGGAACUGCAUUCGAAACUGGCAGGCUAGAGUCUUGUAGAGGGGGGUAGAAUUCCAGGUGUAGCGGUGAAAUGCGUAGAGAUCUGGAGGAAUACCGGUGGCGAAGGCGGCCCCCUGGACAAAGACUGACGCUCAGGUGCGAAAGCGUGGGGAGCAAACAGGAUUAGAUACCCUUGUAGUC